rnacentral:rRNA from 1 species
GAAUUUAAUUUAAAGUCUAACCUGCCCAAUGAAUAAUUUAAUGGCCGCAGUAUUUUGACUGUGCAAAGGUAGCAUAAUCAUUAGUUUCUUAAUUAGAAGCUGGAAUGAAAGGUUGAACGAGAAAAUAACUGUCUCUUUAUAAAUUUUUUAGAAAUUUAUUUUUAAGUUAAAAAGCUUAAAUUUAUUUAAUAGACGAGAAGACCCUAUAGAGUUUUAUAUAAUUGAAUUUAAUUAUUAAAUUAGAAUAUUUUUAAUUUUUAAAUUUUAUUAUAUUUAAUUGGGGUGAUUGAAAAAUUUAUUUAACUUUUUUUUUAUAAAAACAUUUAUUUAUGAUUAUUUGAUCCAUUAUAUGUGUAUAUACAUAUAUAUAUAUAUGAUUAUAAGAUUAAAUUACCUUAGGGAUAACAGCGUAAUUUUUUUUUAGAGUUCAAAUCGAUAAAAAAGUUUGCGACCUCGAUGUUGGAUUAAAAUUUAUUUUUGGUGUAGUAGCUAAAAAAUUAGGUCUGUUCGACCUUUAAAAUUUUACAUGAUCUGAGUUUAAACCGGUGUGAGCCAGGUUGGUUUCUAUCUUUAAUUAUAUAAAAAUAUUUUAGUACGAAAGGACCAAAUAUUUCUAAUAAUUAUUAUAAGUUGAAUUUUAUU